rnacentral:tRNA from 1 species
GCGCCCGUAGCUCAGUUGGAUAGAGCAACGGACUUCUAAUCCGUNNGUUCGAAUCCCUCCGGGCGCGCCA